GGCUUAUCAACAGGGAAGGGGGGAGGAGGAUUCUUCCCUAAAGGUGGAUGUUGAACCAAGGGACCUCUAUCCCUUGGCCAAAGGAAGUCAUCAGAAAACCCAAUACCUAAUGCCCCUCAUUAUUCCCAGAAACUGGGCACCGAUGUAAACUUGUCUCGCUGACUUGAAGAAACUGGGCUUCUUGAAAGCCGACGGGCUGUGGUUAUGGAGCCACAUGAGCGCAAAGUCCAUGCUCUUGUCCAACAUCUUCAGCUGAUCAGAAAUGAAAAGAUCCUGUGACAUUGAUCAGGGGCAUUCAUGUUGAUAUCCAGAGAAAAUAUUUGUUCUUUUUGGAAGAAGAGAAAAUAUUUAUUCUAAAGAUUCGUUCCCAGGGAACACCAAGUCCGGAAGGAUAAAUAAUGAAGCAAUCAUGUAUGUGUAUUAAUAGUUGAGGCUUUUCCUGUAUUAUCAAUGACGGUUGUUACAAUGGGUGAUUUAAUUUUUGUGGGCCCUUGAUCUUGUAAUAUGAAACCUGUGAACGAUGAAAGUUAAUCCAUUAUCUGCAGUGAAAUAUUUGGAAACAUUAUUUUCCAUUCA